GGACCUUCGGGCCUCUUGCCAUCAGAUGUGCCCAGAUGGGAUUAGCUUGUUGGUGAGGUAACGGCUCACCAAGGCGACGAUCCCUAGCUGGUCUGAGAGGAUGACCAGCCACACUGGAACUGAGACACGGUCCAGACUCCUACGGGAGGCAGCAGUGGGGAAUAUUGCACAAUGGGCGCAAGCCUGAUGCAGCCAUGCCGCGUGUAUGAAGAAGGCCUUCGGGUUGUAAAGUACUUUCAGCGGGGAGGAAGGUGUUGUGGUUAAUAACCGCAGCAAUUGACGUUACCCGCAGAAGAAGCACCGGCUAACUCCGUGCCAGCAGCCGCGGUAAUACGGAGGGUGCAAGCGUUAAUCGGAAUUACUGGGCGUAAAGCGCACGCAGGCGGUCUGUCAAGUCGGAUGUGAAAUCCCCGGGCUCAACCUGGGAACUGCAUUCGAAACUGGCAGGCUUGAGUCUUGUAGAGGGGGGUAGAAUUCCAGGUGUAGCGGUGAAAUGCGUAGAGAUCUGGAGGAAUACCGGUGGCGAAGGCGGCCCCCUGGACAAAGACUGACGCUCAGGUGCGAAAGCGUGGGGAGCAAACAGGAUUAGAUACCCUGGUAGUCCACGCCGUAAACGAUGUCUACUUGGAGGUUGUGCCCUUGAGGCGUGGCUUCCGGAGCUAACGCGUUAAGUAGACCGCCUGGGGAGUACGGCCGCAAGGUUAAAACUCAAAUGAAUUGACGGGGGCCCGCACAAGCGGUGGAGCAUGUGGUUUAAUUCGAUGCAACGCGAAGAACCUUACCUGGUCUUGACAUCCACAGAACUUUCCAGAGAUGGAUUGGUGCCUUCGGGAACUGUGAGACAGGUGCUGCAUGGCUGUCGUCAGCUCGUGUUGUGAAAUGUUGGGUUAAGUCCCGCAACGAGCGCAACCCUUAUCCUUUGUUGCCAGCGGUCCGGCCGGGAACUCAAAGGAGACUGCCAGUGAUAAACUGGAGGAAGGUGGGGAUGACGUCAAGUCAUCAUGGCCCUUACGACCAGGGCUACACACGUGCUACAAUGGCGCAUACAAAGAGAAGCGACCUCGCGAGAGCAAGCGGACCUCAUAAAGUGCGUCGUAGUCCGGAUUGGAGUCUGCAACUCGACUCCAUGAAGUCGGAAUCGCUAGUAAUCGUGGAUCAGAAUGCCACGGUGAAUACGUUCCCGGGCCUUGUACACACCGCCCGUCACACCAUGGGAGUGGGUUGCAAAAGAAGUAGGUAGCUUAACCUUCGGGAGGGCGCUUACCACUUUGUGAUUCAUGACUGGGGUGAAGUCGUAACAAGGUAACCGUAGGGGAACCUGCGGUUGGAUCACCUCCUUACCUUAAAGAA
rnacentral:rRNA from 1 species